rnacentral:tRNA from 1 species
GUUUAAGUAGCUUAAUUUUAAAAGCACCAGCCUUGUAAGCUGGAGAAUAGAGGCUAAUAACCUCUCCUAAACU